UCGUCGUUGUCCAGCCACUCAAGUUCAAGGUUUCCCCGUUCCCCUCUCCCCCCUCUCUGUUUGGUUCUUUCUGGUAGUCGUCGAUGUGGUUUCCCACCCAUGCCUCUCUGUUUGCUCUGCUUUGUUGUGGAUGCAGGGAAGGAGAGGUCUCGGCGAGGGCACCAUGGCGGAUGGUCUGGAGCUCGGCGUCAUCUCUACGGGAGGACUGGCUUGUGGAAGUCAUGCAUGAUGCAUCUGGUUAGACCUUUCAUCCUGUAAGGCCCUCCUUAUUAUUCCAUCACUAAUUCCUGGGCCUACCAAAAUCAUUAAUUGACCGUUCUCUGUUUCCAUCUAAUUCUGGAAACGAUUGCCUAAAGCAAAUCUACUAUAUGAGCUCAAAUCCCAGCUUGGGCCCCAAUUAAUUUUGAUUUUGAGUAUCCAUGUUGUACACUGAUGUUAAUUAAUUUGUUCAGGUCGUUUCGAAACUGUUUACAUCACCUUUAGAUUAUAGCCAUUAUUUAGUAACUACCCCGAUUGUGCCAUUGAAUUGUGUACUGGAAUUUGUGCCGUAUAGGUGGACAUACUGUAAGACAACACACCAACACGCUCGUUCUAACAUAAUAUUGUUUUAUGGCCCACAUAUCAUGUUUCAUUUUCCUCUCCUACAUUACUAUGCUACUGUACGCUAUUUCAAUGACCAGAUUGUUCUAGGUCUUAGCAAAAGCAGAGCCUAACGUUGAAGAAUUGUUUGUGUCCUUCGAUCUUCCAGGCUUUCAAAAUGAUUGGUUUAUGUACUAAUUCAGGAUUUUGCCAUGCAUUUACUAGCAGAUUUCUCAUGUUGGGCGAUGGAAUAAGGAUAUGCACAUUUUAGAAGUUCUGUCGGAGUAAGCAUCAACUGAUUGUGAUGACAAAUAGAGCUGAAAAUACGUACAUGCUGCAUAAACAUGGAGUCAGGCUGAUGUUUGUGUGAAAAUAGAUGACAACCGCAGUUUAGAAUCUUCAUAAACACUUAAUAUAGACCUUCCUGGUGAUGUGUUUCCACUGUUUACAUGAACAGGUUUUAGAAGCAGAGAUCAUUGCCACUUUAACUUAAAAGAACUUAUGCAGACAAUUCAUUUGUUUCUUAUAAAUUAUGCUCUUUAUUUGUAAUGUCUGACUCCCUCUCUAAAUUAAUGUUUCUGUCUAAAUCUAUGUAUAUGUGUGCAGACUUGGGCAGAAUUCGAUGAGAAAGAAUUAUAUUGAAGAGUAAUGCAUGCUUCCGUCCUUUAUGGUAGUCGCUUCAGUUUGACCAGACACCUGGCAUGGUGCUUUCUUCCAUAUAUUGUUCUCUCGAAAAAUUUCCUUGUGUAUAGUAUAUUGGAUUCGAUGAUUAUUAUUUUGCCUUCACAGGAUGCUUCAGAAGAUUUUGUUCUUCUUUUAAGGUCGGGAUGACUUUCCAUGCUGUUAUAUACCAUAUAAGAGCUCUCUGGCAGAGAUUACUAUGUUUCACUCCGAAGAAUACAAGAAAAUGGAAGGUACCCAACCUUAGUGCAAGCGUUGUGAACAUAUAUCUGGUCCUCUUGAUUGGACUAUUGGCAGCCUUUUAUUUUGCACAAACUGUUCAUAUAUAUGCAUCUGUUUUUGUAACUACAAAAUGUUGUAAGUGUACUCCAGCGAUGUAUAUAUAUAUUUAUUUACUUUAAGAACAACCUUUCCAUAAAGGAGGUCAUACGCUCCAUACUGACAACACUCGCAAGUAUUUCAACCAUUUAGUAUUUGCGUGUGAGGGAGUAUCCAUGAUUGGAUUGGCAGAGAUCCCCACUUUCGAACCUUUUCCCAUUCAAACUUCAUAUCUCUAGAGCUCCAAUGAAAUUU
rnacentral:lncRNA from 1 species